rnacentral:rRNA from 1 species
AUUGAACGCUGGCGGCAUGCUCUACACAUGCAAGUCGAACGGUAACAGGCCGCAAGGUGCUGACGAGUGGCGAACGGGUGAGUAAUGCAUCGGAACGUGCCCAGUCGUGGGGGAUAACUACUCGAAAGAGUAGCUAAUACCGCAUACGAUCUAUGGAUGAAAGCGGGGGACCGUAAGGCCUCGCGCGAUUGGAGCGGCCGAUGUCAGAUUAGGUAGUUGGUAGGGUAAAGGCUCACCAAGCCAACGAUCUGUAGCUGGUCUGAGAGGACGACCAGCCACACUGGGACUGAGACACGGCCCAGACUCCUACGGGAGGCAGCAGUGGGGAAUUUUGGACAAUGGGCGCAAGCCUGAUCCAGCAAUGCCGCGUGCAGGAAGAAGGCCUUCGGGUUGUAAACUGCUUUUGUACGGAACGAAACGGCUCUGGUUAAUACCCGGGGCUAAUGACGGUACCGUAAGAAUAAGCACCGGCUAACUACGUG